UACGUAGGGGGCAAGCGUUGUCCGGAAUCAUUGGGCGUAAAGCGCGUGUAGGCGGCUCGAUAAGUCCGCUCUGAAAGCCCGGGGCUCAACCCCGGGAGGCGGGUGGAUACUGUCAAGCUCGAGUCCGGAAGAGGCGAGUGGAAUUCCUGGUGUAGCGGUGAAAUGCGUAGAGAUCGGCAGGAACACCCAGGGGGAAACCAGUCGACUGGGCAUCUACUGACGCUGAGGUGCGAG
rnacentral:rRNA from 1 species